rnacentral:rRNA from 1 species
UACGUAGGUGGCAAGCGUUGUCCGGAAUUAUUGGGCGUAAAGCGCGCGCAGGCGGUCCUUUAAGUCUGAUGUGAAAGCCCACGGCUCAACCGUGGAGGGUCAUUGGAAACUGGGGGACUUGAGUACAGAAGAGAAGAGUGGAAUUCCACGUGUAGCGGUGAAAUGCGUAGAGGUGUGGAGGAACACCAGUGGCGAAGGCGGCUCUUUGGUCUGUAACUGACGCUGAGGCGCGAAAGCGUGGGGAGCAAACAGG